UACAGAGGUCUCAAGCGUUGUUCGGAUUCAUUGGGCGUAAAGGGUGUGUAGGUGGCGCCGUAAGUCGGGUGUGAAAUUUCGGAGCUUAACUCCGAAACUGCAUUCGAUACUGCGGUGCUUGAGGACUGGAGAGGAGACUGGAAUUCAUGGUGUAGCAGUGAAAUGCGCAGAUAUCGGGAAGAACACCCGUGGCGAAGGCGGUUCUCUGGGACGGUACUGACGCUGAGACGCGAAAGCGUGGGAGCGAACAGG
rnacentral:rRNA from 1 species